CCUACGGGAUGCAGCAGUGAGGAAUAUUGGUCAAUGGACGAGAGUCUGAACCAGCCAAGUAGCGUGAAGGAUGACUGCCCUAUGGGUUGUAAACUUCUUUUAUAUGGGAAUAAAAUGUUCCACGUGUGGGCUUUUGUAUGUACCAUAUGAAUAAGGAUCGGCUAACUCCGUGCCAGCAGCCGCGGUAAUCCGGAGGAUCCGAGCGUUAUCCGGAUUUAUUGGGUUUAAAGGGGGCGUAGGUGGAUUGUUAAGUCAGUUGUGAAAGUUUGCGGCUCAACCGUAAAAUUGCAGUUGAAACUGGCAGUCUUGAGGACAGUAGAGGUGGGCGGAAUUCGUGGUGUAGCGGUGAAAUGCUUAGAUAUCACGAAGAACUCCGAUUGCGAAGGCAGCUCACUGGACUGCAACUGACACUGAGGCUCGAAAGUGUGGGUAUCAAACAGGAUUAGAUACCCCUGUAGUC
rnacentral:rRNA from 1 species